rnacentral:rRNA from 1 species
UACAGAGGGGGCAAGCGUUAUUCGGAAUUAUUGGGCGUAAAGGGCGCGUAGGCGGCUUCGCAAGUGGAAGGUGAAAUCCCUCGGCUUAACCGAGGAACUGCCCUCCAAACUGCGUGGCUUGAGUCCGGGAGAGGUGAGUGGAAUUCCCAGUGUAGCGGUGAAAUGCGUAGAUAUUGGGAGGAACACCAGUGGCGAAGGCGGCUCACUGGACCGGAACUGACGCUGAGGGGCGAAAGCGUGGGGAGCAAACGGG